GACGAACGCUGGCGGCGUGCCUAAUACAUGCAAGUAGAACGCUGAAGGAGGAGCUUGCUUCUCUGGAUGAGUUGCGAACGGGUGAGUAACGCGUAGGUAACCUGCCUGGUAGCGGGGGAUACUAUUGGAAACGAUAGCUAAUACCGCAUAAUAGUAGAUGUUGCAUGACAUUUGCUUAAAAGGUGCAAUUGCAUCACUACCAGAUGGACCUGCGUUGUAUUAGCUAGUUGGUGGGGUAACGGCUCACCAAGGCGACGAUACAUAGCCGACCUGAGAGGGUGAUCGGCCAAACUGGGACUGGGACACGGCCCAGACUCCUACGGGAGGCAGCAGUAGGGAAUCUUCGGCAAUGGACGGAAGUCUGACCGAGCAACGCCGCGUGAGUGAAGAAGGUUUUCGGAUCGUAAAGCUCUGUUGUAAGAGAAGAACGAGUGUGAGAGUGGAAAGUUCACACUGUGACGGUAUCUUACCAGAAAGGGACGGCUAACUACGUG
rnacentral:rRNA from 1 species